rnacentral:rRNA from 1 species
CAAUUUAAACAACGAAGAGUUUGAUCCUGGCUCAGGAUGAACGCUAGCGACAGGCUUAACACAUGCAAGUCGAGGGGCAGCACGGUGUAGCAAUACAUUGGUGGCGACCGGCGCACGGGUGAGUAACGCGUAUGCAACCUACCUAUCAGAGGGGAAUAACCCGGCGAAAGUCGGACUAAUACCGCAUAAAACAGGGGUUCCACAUGGAAAUAUUUGUUAAAGAAUUAUCGCUGAUAGAUGGGCAUGCGUUCCAUUAGAUAGUUGGUGAGGUAACGGCUCACCAAGUCCACGAUGGAUAGGGGUUCUGAGAGGAAGGUCCCCCACACUGGUACUGAGACACGGACCAGACUCCUACGGGAGGCAGCAGUGAGGAAUAUUGGUCAAUGGGCGAGAGCCUGAACCAGCCAAGUCGCGUGAAGGAUGAAGGAUCUAUGGUUUGUAAACUUCUUUUAUAUGGGAAUAAAGUGAGGAACGUGUUCCUUUUUGUAUGUACCAUAUGAAUAAGCAUCGGCUAACUCCGUGCCAGCAGCCGCGGUAAUACGGAGGAUGCGAGCGUUAUCCGGAUUUAUUGGGUUUAAAGGGA